GAUGGGUUAAUAUGCAUAUAUGACGUGUCUCACACCCAAGAAGAAGAUGCACUGGAAUUAGUGCUCAAUUCUGGAUCUUCUGUGGGUCAAAUUGGUUUCCAUGGUGAAAACUAUAAUAAACUAUAUUGUAUAACCCAUAUUGAGACGCUUCAAUUAUGGGAUAUUGAUAAGGCAUCUUUAGUUGGUCAUCAUUCUGACAUUCGCAAUUCUGAAAGAGGUGCACAGGCUGUAGAAUAUCUUAUUGACUGUUUCUAUCAUCAAGUUCUUGACAAGCUCUAUUUAGUGGCCGGUAGACACAGGUGAGUAAUUAAUUAAAAAAUGGCUCAACAGUUACCUAACCAUAUUUUCCACGUAGAGACUGGUUAUAUACAUGUAUUAUCAAGGGGAGUUACAGUUGUGAAUAGCCUCCUUCCCAUGCAACUCUUUUUUGCUCCUUUGGGCUUCCUUUGUAACGGUCAUUUUGGCUGCCAGGGACUAGCGACGAGAAAGGAAAAAUAAUGCUUUUCUGCCCCCAUUCUCCAUCUUGACUUCCAAAAAAGACAGGAAGCCCGUGAUCCUUUGUGAUGCCUGCAGAGGAGGCUAGGUUGUGAAAUAGGCAGAGCAAAAUAAACUGAGUGGGAGUCUUGUUCUUUCGUGCCAACACUCUUCUCUCAAAGUGAAUUAUGACUAAAAUUACUUGUUGUUAUUUAGUAUUCAGAAAUUCUGUAGUGAUACACUGACAUCAGCUGCAGGAUGUUUGUACUAGUAGUCUGAUUCAGCUCCAUACAGUUAUAAACCUUUUGAAGCACUGCAGAAAAGCUCCAAGAGCAUGAUAAGCAUGUAUACUGCCCUGAUGUCCACGAAAGAUGUACUCUUUGAUUAGAAUUUGAACAGAAAUAUUU